GCACACCACCGCCGCCACCCCUGGCCGCCGAGGCCUCCGCGACGCCUGUCUCGGCUCCGGGAACGCGGCGGGCGGGCGGCAAAACCCGGUCUGGAAGGGGGUGGGGAUCACACGGCGUGGCUUAAAGGCCCCGCUCCGGCGUCCUCCACCAGGCUGGAGAAGCUGCCGAGUUCCCAGGCGGGGCCCCGGAGGCAAAGGCUCGGCCGAGGGCAAAGCCAUGUCUGCGGUUGCCAGGACCUGAAGAUGUAUGAGCGACCUGAACCGUCUCUGGAAAAGUCAUAUUUUCCAGGCUUUCGUGAAGUAGUCAUCGCUCCUGUUCUAAAUCUGGAGGCGGCUGCGUAUCUAUUUCAAAUUGGCUGAAGCAAGUCUCCAUAUUUUGAAGCUCAGGCCCCUUGUGUUGCAACAGGAGUGUCGUUGGUCAUAUCGGGCAUCCUCCUCCAGAGAACUGAAGAACACCCCUCCGGAGUCAGGAUGACCUGAGGGCUACACAAGGCUCAUUUUUCAUUCCCUGUGCCAUCUGGCUCCGGCAGCCACAAGACCUUUCUGGGCCUGAAUAACUUCAUCUGUGCAAUGAAGAAGUGAAACAUGGUCACAUCCACAUGGCAGUAGGCUCUGUCUCCACCACCAUGGCCAAGCGCCACCUCUGAGGAGCUAGGAGCACCCAAAGGACCCAGGACCACAGACUAUGACCAUGUCUGUGCUGGAGUGAGACCACUAGAAGAUAAUAACCACGUUCUUCUCAUGUAAAACCAGGGUUCUGCUCGAGCAACCCUUCUAGCAGCCCUACUUAGGAGGCAGAAGCAAGAUGCUCUUAAGUUUGAAGUAGGCCCUGGAUACAAGUUAAACCUUUUCUGAAAAUUAAUAAACAAAUAUUAAAGAAGCAUUUUUCAACAAAGAA